GUCGCACCGUACACAGCCAGCCCAAAACUAUCACAAACACAAGCAGUCCUCAUCACACACUGACAGCACAAAAUGAUCACACACAGCUAGCCCAACGCUAACACACAGUUUCCAUCACAUGUACACAAUUCAAUAUAAAAAAAAUAUAUUCCUAUCACACACAGACAACCAAAUAAAUCAUAUACAGUCCACAUUACAGUCAUCC